UACGUAGGGUGCGAGCGUUAAUCGGAAUUACUGGGCGUAAAGCGUGCGCAGGCGGUUCGUUAAGUUCGAUGUGAAAGCCCCGGGCUCAACCUGGGAACUGCAUUGGAAACUGGCGGGCUUGAGUGUGGCAGAGGGGGGUGGGAAUUCCACGUGUAGCAGUGAAAUGCGUAGAGAUGUGGAGGAACACCGAUGGCGAAGGCAGCCCCCUGGGCUAACACUGACGCUCAGGCACGAAAGCGUGGGGAGCAAACAGG
rnacentral:rRNA from 1 species